UCUCCGUAGGUGAACCUGCGGAGGGAUCAUUACCGAGCUCAUGCCCUUACGGGUAGAUCUCCCACCCUGUGUUAUUAUUACCUUUGUUGCUUUGGCGGGCCGCCAGGCUCCGGUCAGGCUAUCGGCUUCGGCUGGUAGGCGCCCGCCAGAGGACCCUAUAUCCUGAUUAUUAGUGUCGUCUGAGUACUAUAUAAUAGUUAAAACUUUCAACAACGGAUCUCUUGGUUCUG
rnacentral:misc_RNA from 1 species